UGCAUUUUCUCUGAAAAGACAGAUUUUACAGCAAAAAGCCUGAAGGUAAUGAUUCUACUCACCAGAACAAAUUCAAAAAGCUGUAGUUGUUCUGGUGACUACAGUUGUCCCUUUAAAGAAUAUCUCUCGUCAUCCUCUGCGUUUUCACCUCUCCCAGCGAUCCUUCACAAUAACUGACAGCUCAUAAAAUGAUCUCAAAUGACAUUGAAAUGCCCUUGACCUAUGCUGAUAAGCUAUCAGGUAUCAAAUCUGGGGGAACAACAGUGAAAAAGUGUACAAUUAUGGACUUGGUUUUGCGAUAUCCCAUUAGAUGACGGCAGUCACGUAUUCGUACAGUGUAAUGUGUCAGAAGAUGGGAAAACUGCUAAACUUUAAAAGCAAUAUUUACCUUGUUAAUAAAUCUGAGUAAUCCUGAGAAUUACCUGCGUAUUGUGUAAGAGCUUUCCUCGCUGUUAUAACGUGUCCAAUAACAACGCGCGGAUAGUUUAAUGCUGUGGAAUUGCAAACAUGGCUUGCCAGUCCAGGAAUAUGUGAUAGCGGAUGUACAGGUUAGAGUGUUAAAGAAAGACAAUGUUUGGGCUGAUUUCAUUCUGUAAUAAUUAGAAUCUCUGAUCGAUGUGGUGAGUUAAGUAAACAAUUUGUGGUUCCCUAUAGCCUGUAGAGAAUCAGAAAAAAACGGCCCAUUUUUAGGGAUUCAAAACAACUUCUUCGUCUUCAACAAAGAAAAAAAGUCAUUAUGCAAAAACCAUAAUAAAAAAUGAAAAUGAUUUAUCAUAAAGUUUUUU